GCCUGGAUGGCUCGGUCGGUUAAGCGUCUGACUUUGGCUCAGGUCAUAAUCUCACAGUUCAUGGGUUCGAGCCCCAUGUCAGGCU
rnacentral:tRNA from 1 species